rnacentral:rRNA from 1 species
UUAAGCGACUAAGCGUACACGGUGGAUGCCCUGGCAGUCAGAGGCGAUGAAGGACGUGCUAAUCUGCGAUAAGCGUCGGUAAGGUGAUAUGAACCGUUAUAACCGGCGAUUUCCGAAUGGGGAAACCCAGUGUGUUUCGACACACUAUCAUUAACUGAAUCCAUAGGUUAAUGAGGCGAACCGGGGGAACUGAAACAUCUAAGUACCCCGAGGAAAAGAAAUCAACCGAGAUUCCCCCAGUAGCGGCGAGCGAACGGGGAGCAGCCCAGAGCCUGAAUCAGUGUGUGUGUUAGUGGAAGCGUCUGGAAAGGCGCGCGAUACAGGGUGACAGCCCCGUACACAAAAAUGCACAUACUGUGAGCUCGAUGAGUAGGGCGGGACACGUGGUAUCCUGUCUGAAUAUGGGGGGACCAUCCUCCAAGGCUAAAUACUCCUGACUGACCGAUAGUGAACCAGUACCGUGAGGGAAAGGCGAAAAGAACCCCGGCGAGGGGAGUGAAAAAGAACCUGAAACCGUGUACGUACAAGCAGUGGGAGCCUCUUUUAUGGGGUGACUGCGUACCUUUUGUAUAAUGGGUCAGCGACUUAUAUUCUGUAGCAAGGUUAACCGAAUAGGGGAGCCGAAGGGAAACCGAGUCUUAACUGGGCGUUAAGUUGCAGGGUAUAGACCCGAAACCCGGUGAUCUAGCCAUGGGCAGGUUGAAGGUUGGGUAACACUAACUGGAGGACCGAACCGACUAAUGUUGAAAAAUUAGCGGAUGACUUGUGGCUGGGGGUGAAAGGCCAAUCAAACCGGGAGAUAGCUGGUUCUCCCCGAAAGCUAUUUAGGUAGCGCCUCGUGAAUUCAUCUCCGGGGGUAGAGCACUGUUUCGGCAAGGGGGUCAUCCCGACUUACCAACCCGAUGCAAACUGCGAAUACCGGAGAAUGUUAUCACGGGAGACACACGGCGGGUGCUAACGUCCGUCGUGAAGAGGGAAACAACCCAGACCGCCAGCUAAGGUCCCAAAGUCAUGGUUAAGUGGGAAACGAUGUGGGAAGGCCCAGACAGCCAGGAUGUUGGCUUAGAAGCAGCCAUCAUUUAAAGAAAGCGUAAUAGCUCACUGGUCGAGUCGGCCUGCGCGGAAGAUGUAACGGGGCUAAACCAUGCACCGAAGCUGCGGCAGCGACGCUUAUGCGUUGUUGGGUAGGGGAGCGUUCUGUAAGCCUGUGAAGGUGUGCUGUGAGGCAUGCUGGAGGUAUCAGAAGUGCGAAUGCUGACAUAAGUAACGAUAAAGCGGGUGAAAAGCCCGCUCGCCGGAAGACCAAGGGUUCCUGUCCAACGUUAAUCGGGGCAGGGUGAGUCGACCCCUAAGGCGAGGCCGAAAGGCGUAGUCGAUGGGAAACAGGUUAAUAUUCCUGUACUUGGUGUUACUGCGAAGGGGGGACGGAGAAGGCUAUGUUGGCCGGGCGACGGUUGUCCCGGUUUAAGCGUGUAGGCUGGUUUUCCAGGCAAAUCCGGAAAAUCAAGGCUGAGGCGUGAUGACGAGGCACUACGGUGCUGAAGCAACAAAUGCCCUGCUUCCAGGAAAAGCCUCUAAGCAUCAGGUAACAUCAAAUCGUACCCCAAACCGACACAGGUGGUCAGGUAGAGAAUACCAAGGCGCUUGAGAGAACUCGGGUGAAGGAACUAGGCAAAAUGGUGCCGUAACUUCGGGAGAAGGCACGCUGAUAUGUAGGUGAAGCGACUUGCUCGUGGAGCUGAAAUCAGUCGAAGAUACCAGCUGGCUGCAACUGUUUAUUAAAAACACAGCACUGUGCAAACACGAAAGUGGACGUAUACGGUGUGACGCCUGCCCGGUGCCGGAAGGUUAAUUGAUGGGGUCAGCGCAAGCGAAGCUCUUGAUCGAAGCCCCGGUAAACGGCGGCCGUAACUAUAACGGUCCUAAGGUAGCGAAAUUCCUUGUCGGGUAAGUUCCGACCUGCACGAAUGGCGUAAUGAUGGCCAGGCUGUCUCCACCCGAGACUCAGUGAAAUUGAACUCGCUGUGAAGAUGCAGUGUACCCGCGGCAAGACGGAAAGACCCCGUGAACCUUUACUAUAGCUUGACACUGAACAUUGAGCCUUGAUGUGUAGGAUAGGUGGGAGGCUUAGAAGUGUGGACGCCAGUCUGCAUGGAGCCGACCUUGAAAUACCACCCUUUAAUGUUUGAUGUUCUAACGUUGACCCGUAAUCCGGGUUGCGGACAGUGUCUGGUGGGUAGUUUGACUGGGGCGGUCUCCUCCUAAAGAGUAACGGAGGAGCACGAAGGUUGGCUAAUCCUGGUCGGACAUCAGGAGGUUAGUGCAAUGGCAUAAGCCAGCUUGACUGCGAGCGUGACGGCGCGAGCAGGUGCGAAAGCAGGUCAUAGUGAUCCGGUGGUUCUGAAUGGAAGGGCCAUCGCUCAACGGAUAAAAGGUACUCCGGGGAUAACAGGCUGAUACCGCCCAAGAGUUCAUAUCGACGGCGGUGUUUGGCACCUCGAUGUCGGCUCAUCACAUCCUGGGGCUGAAGUAGGUCCCAAGGGUAUGGCUGUUCGCCAUUUAAAGUGGUACGCGAGCUGGGUUUAGAACGUCGUGAGACAGUUCGGUCCCUAUCUGCCGUGGGCGCUGGAGAACUGAGGGGGGCUGCUCCUAGUACGAGAGGACCGGAGUGGACGCAUCACUGGUGUUCGGGUUGUCAUGCCAAUGGCACUGCCCGGUAGCUAAAUGCGGAAGAGAUAAGUGCUGAAAGCAUCUAAGCACGAAACUUGCCCCGAGAUGAGUUCUCCCUGACCCUUUAAGGGUCCUGAAGGAACGUUGAAGACGACGACGUUGAUAGGCCGGGUGUGUAAGCGCAGCGAUGCGUUGAGCUAACCGGUACUAAUGAACCGUGAGGCUUAACCUU